CCUCCCCCCAUCGCCUUCCUCCCUUCCGCAGGCCGCAACGCUGCUCCUCCCCUCCAUCGCCUUCCACCCCAUCGGCACGCCGCCUGCUCCGCCUCGGCGGACGGGGCCGCAACUGGAUCCCCCCAUCUCGCGCCGCGGCUUCCUCGUCUCACACCAACAGCGGAGAGAAGCGACCGCGGCCGGCGCGGGCUGGUGGAGCGGGGAGCGCGCCAGCGGCGAGGGGUGGUGGAGCGGGGAGCGCACCUACGGCGAGGUGCCACGCGCCGGCCGACGGGGGAUAGGACGGGGUCCAUUGGCGUGCGGGGAUUUGGAUCCUAGAAAGCGGACUGGCCCAUCUUCAGCGUUCGCACGCCUGCCUCCUCCGCCGCACCGCGCGCCCCUGCCUCCCGUACCGCCACGCCUGUCUCCUCCGCCGCGGGUCGCGCCCCGAUCUCAUCCGAAUUGCUCCGGCCCGAUCUCGGCCGACCUGCUUCGCGUGGUUCGGCUCCGCCCCUAUCUGCGGCCGCUCCGAACUGCCCCGCAAAGUUCUUCUCCGCCAGAUCCUGGUCGGCCGCGUGGUACUCCGACCACGGUGAACUGCUCCGCUUGAACCCGCGCGGUAGCCUGCAACUCCAACCGCGGCCCUGACCAAGGAUAGCUUCUGAUUGCAGUAUUGCGCCCAUCCUGCCUGUUUUCUUUAAACUUCCUCGACACAAACAACCAGUGGAACUUGACUGUGGAUAUUUCUGGUUCUAAAUAGGAUAGGUCUGUAAAGAUCAGUCGACUGAGAUAUUGUGACUUGCAUCUCUUUCAGGAGAGUGAUCUGUAUCUUCUAUAUGUUCGUUUCUUCUAUUAAUCAUAUAUAUUCUAUAAGCCUAUCAUUGUCACCAGGCGGGCUGCUUUGCUUGGUCGCUGCUGCCCUGCAUCGGUGGACGUUUAGUUGCCAUUGAUCUUUAUUCACAGCAUGGUUUUUUCUCCUCCUAAGGUGCAAAUAUUGUUG